AAUCAACGCUGGCGGCGUGCCUAACACAUGCAAGUCGAACGCGAAAGUGGCUUCGGCCGCGAGUAGAGUGGCAAACGGGUGAGUAACACGUGGGCGACCUGCCCUCGAGCGGGGGAUAACGUCUCGAAAGGGACGCUAAUACCGCAUAACAUCCUGCCUUUAAAGAGGUGGAGAUCAAAGCCGGGGAUCGCAAGACCUGGCACUCGAGGAGGGACCCGCGCCCGAUUAGCUAGUUGGUGAGGUAACGGCUCACCAAGGCGACGAUCGGUAGCCGGCCUGAGAGGGCGGACGGCCACACUGGGACUGAGACACGGCCCAGACUCCUACGGGAGGCAGCAGUGGGGAAUUGUUCGCAAUGGGCGCAAGCCUGACGACGCAACGCCGCGUGGAGGACGAAGAUCUUCGGAUCGUAAACUCCUGUCGAGUGGGACGAACGGCCCUGGACCUAAUACGUCCGGGGAGUGACGGUACCGCGCGAGGAAGCCCCGGCUAACUCCGUGCCAGCAGCCGCGGUAAUACGGGGGGGGCAAGCGUUGUUCGGAAUUACUGGGCGUAAAGGGCUCGUAGGCGGCCAUCUAAGUCAGACGUGAAAUCCCUCGGCUCAACCGGGGAACUGCGUCUGAUACUGGGUGGCUCGAAUCCGGGAGAGGGAUGCGGAAUUCCAGGUGUAGCGGUGAAAUGCGUAGAUAUCUGGAGGAACACCGGUGGCGAAGGCGGCAUCCUGGACCGGUAUUGACGCUGAGGAGCGAAAGCCAGGGGAGCAAACGGGAUUAGAUACCCCGGUAGUCCUGGCCCUAAACGAUGAAUGCUUGGUGUGGCGGGUAUCGAUCCCUGCCGUGCCGUAGCUAACGCGAUAAGCAUUCCGCCUGGGGAGUACGGUCGCAAGGCUG
rnacentral:rRNA from 1 species